GUGUUGGUUCUGUGGGAGAUUGGCCCGGACUUUUAAUCCGCUGGUCGUUGGUUCGAAUCCAACACGACCCACCA
rnacentral:tRNA from 1 species